ACUCCUACGGGAGGCAGCAGUGGGGAAUCUUGCGCAAUGGGCGAAAGCCUGACGCAGCAACGCCGCGUGCGGGAUGAAGGCCUUCGGGUUGUAAGCCGCUUUCAGUGGGGACGAACCAAGACGGUACCCACAGAAGAAGCCCCGGCCAACUACGUGCCAGCAGCCGCGGUAACACGUAGGGGGCAAGCGUUGUCCGGAUUCAUUGGGCGUAAAGAGCUCGUAGGCGGUUCGAUAAGUCGGGUGUGAAACCUCCAGGCUCAACCUGGAGACGCCACCCGAUACUGUCGUGACUAGAGUCCAGUAGGGGAGCGUGGAAUUCCUGGUGUAGCGGUGAAAUGCGCAGAUAUCAGGAGGAACACCAGCGGCGAAGGCGGCGCUCUGGGCUGGCACUGACGCUGAGGAGCGAAAGCGUGGGGAGCGAACAGGAUUAGAUACCCUGGUAGUCCACGCCGUAAACGUUGGGUACUAGGUGUGGGGUCUUAUCAACGGAUUCCGUGCCGAAGCUAACGCAUUAAGUACCCCGCCUGGGGAGUACGGCCGCAAGGCUAAAACUCAAAGGAAUUGACGGGGGCCCGCACAAGCAGCGGAGCAUGUUGCUUAAUUCGAGGCAACGCGAAGAACCUUACCUGGGUUUGACAUGGUAGGAAAAGCCAUAGAGAUAUGGUGUCCUUUUGGGCCUAUCAC
rnacentral:rRNA from 1 species